rnacentral:rRNA from 1 species
ACUCCUACGGGAGGCAGCAGUGGGAAUAUUGCACAAUGGGCGCAAGCCUGAUGCAGCCAUGCCGCGUGUGUGAAGAAGGCCUUCGGGUUGUAAAGCACUUUCAGUCGUGAGGAAGGUAGUGUAGUUAAUAGCUGCAUUAUUUGACGUUAGCGACAGAAGAAGCACCGGCUAACUCCGUGCCAGCAGCCGCGGUAAUACGGAGGAUGCAAGCGUUAUCCGGAUUCAUUGGGUUUAAAGGGUGCGUAGGCGGAAGUGUAAGUCAGGGGUGAAAGUUUGCAGCUCAACUGUAAAAUUGCCUUUGAUACUGCAUUUCUUGAGUACAUUUGAGGUAGGCGGAAUGUGUUGUGUAGCGGUGAAAUGCUUAGAUAUAACACAGAACACCGAUUGCGAAGGCAGCUUACUAAACUGUAACUGACGCUGAUGCGCGAAAGCGUGGGAGCAAACAGGAUUAGAUACCCUGGUAGACAUCA